GAUCCCGAGCCUGGGGGAGAGGUUGGAAGUAGGGGUGCACCGAUAGAGAUGUUUUGGGCCGAUACCGAUGGCCGAUUUUUUCCGAGCCAUAAGCGGUUGAUACAGAGCUGAUUGCCGAUACGCAGCCCGGCAGCUUGGAGAGCGGUGUUGGGCUGCUCCCACCGGUGGAAGCCCAGCAAGGGACCGGAAAUCCCCAGCCACCGCCCGCCAGCUCCAAGGGCACCAUGAGAGCCCGGAUGUACUGGGACCCCGCGGAGGAGGAGCUGCUCCGGUGCCAGGAGCCCUGGGACAAGACCCGAAGCAUCAGUGACCUGGGCCACUUCCAGAGGCUCCGCCAGAGCACCCAAGUGGCCCUGCGGGCGAGCCAGAGACUUGAAAAGAAGCUGAAGAGGGAGGAAAGGUUGCUGCUGCUCCUGGAGCCCAAUCCUGCCAUCCUGGGGCAGCUGUAGGGAGUGAGGAGACAGCUCUUCCGGCUGGGCAGGGAGUGGAGGCAGCAAAGCAUCCGGCUGCAGCAACUGGAGCUGGUUAUCGGGAGGAGGGAACAAUGCCAGAAGAAAUGCUCCCGGGACGAGGGGCAGCUGAGCAUCAGGGGAAGGAGCCAGAAGGACGCCUUCUCCAUGGCUGGGCCCUCAGCAUUCCUGAAAAAGUCAAGAUUCCCUUCCCUUAAGCAAUAAACAGCUAGUUAAAAAUUCAACUGGCUGCAGUACUCCAGGUUCUGGCCCAGCAUGAAGGCCCGGAUCCAUUGCACUUGUACAGGGACCAGACUUUGUUAUUAAGAGCCUCCAGUACGAGGCACGAGACUGGGAGAAAAGGGGUUGGUGGACGGUGGAUAGAAAGGAAGUCAGUAAUAGAGAAACUGGGGAAGACAGUCUAAAAUGGAUUAGGGCACGGCCAGGUCGGCUUCAAGCCUGACAUGCACGAGUGCAUGGAAAAGGGGAAGACAAGGCCUCGCCAAGUGCCCGUCGGCGUGUCUGCUGCAACCCGUUCUUCCGCGCAAUCCAGUGGGGACCCUCGGGUGCAGGAAAGCAAGAAAUAAUUGCCCAAUGUCAGCAGUGGUUGCAUGGAGGGGUAGAGGGAACCGUAACCAGGGGCAGCACGUCAUGGAACAAGGGACCCGGUAAAGAAACGGGUGCCUAAGAUGCCAAUUAGUAAAUGCUAAGCUGGGGGAGACACUCCCCCGAUGUAUCAAAGAAGGACCAGUCCACGGUCCGGGUUACAAAUGGAUUAUAUAGACGCACUUUCGGUGACUAAGGAAGGGUAUAAAUACUUGUUAGCAGUGGCGGAUGCUUUUUCGGGAGGGGCUGAAGCCUUCCCAAUAAAGGCACACACCGCAGGAGCUACGGCUAACGUGGUCUUCAAGGGAGUGUUCUCCAGGCCUGGGACCCGGGCGAUAACUGACUCAGAUAGGGGACCGUACUUUGUGGGAGAAACUACGAAAGCCCUGACACAGGCUUUAGGGAUACAACAGAAGCGGCGUGUGUCCUACCGUCCUCCGGCCAGGUGGAGACAACGAGCCGAAGCGUUGAGGAAGGUUGUGUGUGCCAGCGGUAAGAAAUGGACUGAGAAGUCGCCCCUUCUUUUGGCAGCCGUUAGAUCAGCCACCCGACUGAGACCACGUUUAACGCCAUAUCACAUUAUAUUUGACCGUCCGAUGGAGCUCCGGAUCAACCCGCUGCAGCUCCGACCAGAUGAAAUUCAAGAAACAGGUGUAAUCUCGUGGAUUAAAUAGCUGCAAGAAGACAAGGCAGUGUAUAAGCACAAACCAGAAGAAGCCCUGUUGAAAACCUGAGCUAAGAUGCAAGGAAAGCACGAGGUUGCCCCCCAGCUAUGGCAAGUAGGGGACCAGGUAAUGUACCUGAAAUACAGGAAACCCCGCCAUAACCUACACACCAGAUGAGAAAGUCCAUGUUGCACUGUUAACCUAGCUGGCCCGAUGGUGUGCCAGAUUGACACGGGGCCCGAGGGUAUGUAUAUGGGUACACCGUGCUCAAUUAAACAAUAUGGGAUAAAACCUCCCCGGAUGCGGGUUUGUCUUCUUAUCUUUCAGGUUUUAGACGCCGAAGACAUCGCUCUGCAGAGGCUCGGUGAGAGGUUCACAUUAAAUAAGUAAGCCAGCAUUAAUCCUACUGUGCGAUCGCAACUGUUGCGUGUGGUUUGUGUGUUUUGUCUAUGGUAGUGGCUGUUGGCAAGCUUAGAAGGAUAGGGAAAGAGUAGAGAGACUUGUGUUGUUGCUUAUAUUGUAGAGAAACAUGAAGAUCCAGGAGGGGUUUAUUUUCUGGAUUGGACUUGCAAUGGCGGAGGCGUGCAUGGGAUACGAGUAUUGACCUCAAUAUCAAAUUGAGCCUGGGUCGAUACAGGACACAUAGGGCAUGACAUCCAUUGUAUAAGGUUCAGCAUAUCAUGAAGUGUGCAAAUGUGGUGCAUGUGACUACCGAAGAAGCAGCAGGUGGCAUGAAGACAACAGAAGGCCGUGGUUGCUUUUGUAACCGAAGAUAAGACUGUUUUGAAGGCCGACUCUUUCAGCUGGCCGCACAAUAUCCUCGAUAAAGAGGAACCGGCUUCAAACCAGCUCCAACUGGUGAGAUGAGAGGGCGCUUGUGAUGUGCUGACCAAGCACCGCAUGCCGGAAGAAGCAUCUAGAAAUCUUGCCCAGCAACAUAAAGUGUAGAAAAGGGGGCAAAAGAGAGGAUGAUGCAGGAACGUGCCUCAGCACCAGCGCCCGCGCCAGGUCAGAUGCCCUGCUCCAUCAACGGAUAGGGACCGGCCAUCCCUAUCUCCAGUGCCCUCGGGGUCGUGUGUGUGUGUCACCUGCGAGAAUGUAUGUGAGUGUGCGUGCGUGCGUGUGUGGUAGGGUAACACAACUCCUAAUAAGCUAAUGGUCUCUAAUAAGUGUAAAACUCCCCAGCACCCUUAGCAAUAAAGUACCCCGCUGAAAAGGGACUAACGUUUUCUCAUUAGUCCCAGUGCUGGGUUACAAGGGCACGGGGCAGAGGGCCCAGGCUGUGAGAGGGGGCAGGGGGCAUGCUCCGAGGGAUGAAAUGAGGGACCCUCAUGCAAAAGACGGCCACUCGGUUCCUGGAGCAAAGGGGGCGUCGUUGGCCAGGAUGAUCCAGACAGGUGUUGAAAGCUGGAUUCAUGAUGUAAAUGAUGACAACGACGACGACAUGCUUAACUUUCUUCCUUCCCCCUUUCAUGCUUUUCUUAACUUGACUCCUUUGACAGCUCCUUGCCUGUGGAUCAUCUCUCUGCAGUCGGCUUAUUGUCCAUAUUUCAUCCUGUCAGCACAGCCCUUUGUUCCACAUCCCCAUUAUGAGCACACCUCUUAAUUUGGCCUUUUUUCCGUUGUCUUACUUUAACCAUUGUUCAUUGGUCUCCUUUAUCACCUUUCAUUAACAGAUCCAAUCAUUCCAUCCCUCUGAUUCAGCCGAUUAGCGCCAAGUUCAGUUAAGUUGAGCUAGUAACAAACCUAUUGCUACGUUGUGUCAGAAAACCUUCUCGCAGUGAUAGACAAAGGAAAGCAACAUCACGCGAGCAACCUCAAGACCAUGAGCUGCUUGCAAGACACAAGGCCUGGCAUUGCUGCUCUAACAUUGAACAUUUGCUGUUCAGGAUGGACGGCAACUGGAGCAUGUGCCGCUGUAUGCAUCUUCAGGAUGGUCGAGGUUACAGAUCCCACCAGACCGCCCUUCAUUGGAUGGGUUUAGAAAGGAUCUGCGCUUAUUAGUAACGCGAUAUGGGCGUGAUCCAUGACAGCUCCACUCUUCUUCUUUGUGCUACGAUUAGCGUUCGCUCUCGUCUAGUCUUUAUGCAGAUGGGACCUGCAGUAAACGCAUUUGGGAGAACUACUACGUUUACUAGGAAAAUAUCUGAUAGCCCACGUCUCCGUGCUGCUCAUGGGUGUCUCUAUCCUGAGCUGUCCCUCAGGUGAUUUUUGCAGAAGGCGGUGACACGCGGUCUCUCAACUGUAUUAGGAGGAGGGAAAGCCAGCGUAGGUGUGCUGAAGGCUAGGGAUACCGAACCCUUGGCUGGUAAAUUGUCCCGAGUGACCCAUCACUUGCAAGACAUCAGAGCUCCUCUUCCCUCCUCUCCGUCCAAAAUCAGCAUUCAGGAUUGGUCGAGCGCAAAGUUACUCCCCAAGUGGAGAGGCUUCAACGAGCCGAAACAUCGAUUAAUGGGACGUGCUUGAGGUAAAAUGCACAUUAACAUGCUUUAAUGCACAUUAGCCUACUUUAAUGUGCAUUAACACAUCACUUCAAAACCGUGCUCAAUAAAGGUGUUACCAAGUGCUGAAGCUGCUCAGGUCAGUCUGGUGGCCAGCCAGGCUGAGCCGAGUGAUGGAGUCAGGUCUUGUUGGAUGUGCCUAAAACGCCUUCUUGCAGGUGGAAGAGAUCCAAAGCUUUGUCUUUGUGUUCAUUCUUUAUAGUGCUCGCAGUCCAUACCAGCCUGUGGAUUCGGCUGAGUCAGACACAAAGGUCAUCCUCCUUGUCCUGUUGGCAGGCUGGGAUUGUUAGGACAUGAUCUAAUGGCUUUGUGGUCUGCAAUCUUCAGGGGGGUCGUUGCUUGCAGUCUUCAGCCAUCAAGGCUUUUUGCCUAUUGCUUUUAAUCGUAUGUAUUUUCUUGAGUUUUGCAUUGCCUUAAGAAACUCCAUUUUGUAUUGCUCUGUAGCUGGACAUAAGUGUUCGACCUGUGUAUGCUGGCUCAGAGUGUGUCUGUGGAAAAGGAAAACAUCAGCUGGCGACUAGCUGAAGAAGGCAGAGAGAUGAAAGACCAAGCAAGAAGAAUCUGCCCCCAAACAGCGAGAGCACAACGGCAAUCAGUCUUCAAGGAAGAACACAGCGAUAACACAGCAAGAGCCCAGAGGACUGGGUGAAUUGACAAGGCUAUAAAAGAUGGGGCGAGACGUAUUGAUUCUGGGCCUUGUUCUGCACGUCAUCCUGGAGCAUCGGUUCAUCUGACGAGAUGGACCGGCAGGAGCCCGGUUUCCACUCGGGAUCAACUUGGCUGGCCACUAAGUUGAUCCGAGCACCGAUAAGACCAGUAACGUAUACCACUGCAGAACAGAAAUUGGGUUAGUGUGUGUGUGUGUGUGUGUGUAUUAAGCGCUCAAUCAAUAAACUCGGCAUCUUGCCUUA